rnacentral:rRNA from 1 species
GAUGAACGCUGGCGGCGUGCCUAAUACAUGCAAGUCGAGCGGACGGACGAGAAGCUUGCUUCUCUGAUGUUAGCGGCGGACGGGUGAGUAACACGUGGAUAACCUACCUGUAAGACUGGUAUAACUUCGGGAAACCGGAGCUAAUACCGGAUGAUAUUUUGAACCGCAUGGUUCAAAAGUAAAAGACGGUCUUUCUGUCUCUUCUAGAUGGAUCCGCGCUGCAUUAGCUAGUUGGUAAGGUAACGGGUUACCAAGGCAACGAUGCAUAGCCGACCUCAGAGGGUGGUCGGCCACACGGGAAGUGAGACACGGUCAAGACGCCUACGGGAGGACGCAGUAGGGAAUCUUCCGCAAUGGGCGAGAGCCUGACGGAGCAACGCGGCGUGAGUGAUGAAGGUGUUCGGAUCGUAAAACUCUGUUAUUAGGGAAGAACAUAUGUGUAAUUAACUGUGCAGAUAUUGACGGUACCGAAUCAGAAAGCCACGGCUAACUACGUG